rnacentral:sRNA from 1 species
AUUACUGUGCUAUUUAUUUAUAAUUUUCAUUUUGUAAUAUAGUUAUUUUAAAUUUUCUCCUUCAUUAUUAUUAUCUCCAUUUUACCCAUGAGGGAAUUGAGGCUUUAGAGUAAUGACAUGGCUCACUCUACUGUAAGGCACAGAGCUAGAAUCCAAGCCCAUAAAUGUUUGAAUUGAAAGCCUAGCCUCUUAACUACUUCCCUGAACAUCAUGCAUAAGUUGCUUUAGUUUCUUUAGUCACUUCGUUAAUUUGUUUUUAUUUUUCACAGGUCUGUAUGCUUUGCUCUGUGGGCUAUCAUCUUUUUUCCUGCCAUCGGUCAGAAAAAACAUGUCGAAGAUGGAUGGCAUUAGAUUAUGCAGGAAUUUCUAUUGGAAUACUGGGCUGCUAUGUUUCAGGAGUAUUUUACGCAUUUUAUUGUAAUAACUACUGGCGUCAGGUGUACUUGAUCACAGUGCUUGCUAUGAUCCUGGCAGUGUUCUUUGCGCAGAUUCAUCCCAAUUACCUCACGCAGCAAUGGCAAAGGCUCCGUUCUAUCAUCUUUUG